UACGGGGGGAGCAAGCGUUGUUCGGAUUUAUUGGGCGUAAAGGGCGCGUAGGCGGCGUGACAAGUCACUUGUGAAAUCUCCGGGCUUAACCCGGAGCGGCCAAGUGAUACUGUCGUGCUAGAGUGCGGAAGGGGCUACUGGAAUUCUCGGUGUAGCGGUGAAAUGCGUAGAUAUCGAGAGGAACACCUGCGGCGAAGGCGGGUAGCUGGGCCGACACUGACGCUGAUGCGCGAAAGCCAGGGGAGCGAACGGG
rnacentral:rRNA from 1 species